UUGUACGAAAACACCAUUAUUAAAAGUGGCUUGGCUAUUAAGAGCAAGGAUUUCUUACCCAGGAUUACCAUUGUAGAAGACCUAAAGGCUAUGUUUUCCGUUUUUAAAAUUUAGUCUAAUUUUUUUUUUGACACUUAUAACCCUAUAAUGGGUCCUUAAAUUUAUUUACAGAUUUUUAAAUAGAGAUUUAUUCUAAAUAAUAAGCGGUCUAUACACCGUUAACGCUCCCUGAUUAUUGUCUUUAAUUUUACCUAUUGUUCCUAUUGUCCUUAAGCAUGGCCGUUAUAAGCUAGCGUGCGCCCCCAGCUAUCUUUUAUUUUGUUGAAUUAAUAUUAGUUGCAAACAAUACAUUUUUCAAACUUCCAUAAUUCUAUAUGCGUUUUUAGCAUGUAAACAGCUUUGCUAAGUAUCACCAGGACCAGGUCGGUGCGCGCGGAGGAAGGCGUGGCUGUCUCGGUAUAACGGAGCACCCGGCAUUACUUGAUACCUCUGCUAGCUCUACAAAAUCACGAGGCAGUGGGAAUUUGCUUAUAGGCCGACUAGGGGAUGCGGUCUACAAAUUUCCUUGGAAACUACUACCGCCCACCAAUUUGAACGCCCUCUUGUGUGCGACUCCUCAGCUGUUUGAUCGGAAGAUCUCAAUCGGAAGCAACCUUCAUGGACCGGUCGAUCCGAUAAUUUGAAUGGCUACCUCCUUGAGGCCUAUGCUGAUGAGCACGGGAUGUGCAUACAAGGUCCCCAGCAACCAACACCCUUGGUGACUACAGGCAAUGGACGUACUGGAUAUCGCUAUACUAAAAGGUAUACGUCUCAGCACGGCACUAUAACGCUCCACGAGCUUUCCUCCGAUUGCAUUCCAGUUAUUCUCCAAUUAGCGACGAGAAGGCAAACCGAGACUAUCACCCGCUUUUUUACCAACUGGGACAAAUAUUCUGAGUAUUUAGAAACCACUCUCCCGCUAUUCAAAACACUACCGUCUACUUCCGCCCUGCUGGAUGAUGCUGUCGCCUUAUUCGAAAGCACACUGUACAUGGUUGGCACUACUGCCACGAUAACUCGUGAAGUAACGUAUACCACCCCUAUCGCCUGCCUGACAAACUAGAGGCACUUAUCCGCCAACGUCCACGUCUUAUCCGAGGUGGACAUCUUGUUGCAGAGCUCCGAAGACAAACUUGCGCUUAAUCGACUGCACGAGUGCAUGUAAGAAGCUAAUGACCAGUGGCCCAUUUUAACAAUAAAUGUGAGGCCAAGCUGCACCAUAUAUACGAAUCAGGCAACAGCAGCAGUUCUUCUUUUGGAAAUUUGUUAAUAAGAUCAAAAAUGGAGGACUUGCACCGCUACCUCCUCUUCGUGAAGGUAAUAUAGUAGUCGAGGGUGAUGAAGACAAAGUUACUCUUUUUGCUAAUUUCCUUGUUACCCAAAACGUGCCAUCUGCUCACUUAACUGCCAAUGAUGCUUUCCAACAGCUGAGCUGCUGAAGAAAAUGCCGUUGACAGGGAAACGUUAUCUGUAGCAAUUAUUAAAACUUGCGAUGGUUUUUGGAGAUUUCCUGAUCCUAUGAAAGACGGACCAUUGUGAUGCUCCCAAAGACACUUAAACAGGAAUCAGCAACUAGCAAGUACCUGCCCAUCAGUCUCCUGCCAGCGGUCGGCAAAGUGGGUGAGGCCGUCUUACUGCGCAGUCUAAAAGGGGUCUUAACUCUCAAGCCACCUUGCCGGAAUUUCAGUCUAGGUUUUGGCACAGUCGCUUAACGUUCCAGCAGCACCUCUGCUUCACUAUAUAAGCCACUCGCGCUUUUAACCAUAAGAAGACAACAGGCGCUGUCUUCCUUGACGAAGAAAAAGCAUUUGAUCAAGUUUGGCAUGAAGGCCUGCCGCACAAACUGCGCUCGUUAUCCAUUCCUCAUGGCCUUUAUAACGUGCUGAAGUCACAUCCAAAUGGUCGCGUCUCCAGCGUGCGUGCGGGAGAACCACAGUGGCCGCUGCGAUCAGCAGGGGUUCCUGCGGGACCCUAGUCUCGCCUCUUUUAUUUGCAACUAUAAGAGCGACGUGCCCUUGCCAUCAAAUCCACACACACGAAUCACCCUCUAGGCCCAUGAUACGGCUACUCACUCAUCGUCGAAAUCUCUCGCCUUACUAUGCAAGCAUCUACAGCGCUAUCUUUACGCCCUUGCUGACUGAAAUGCGUCUCCUUAUUGGCGCCCUUAACCUUUGAUGGCGUGAAAAAUACAAGGUGUUCUCAAGCAGAAUACUUGGGAGUAAUCAUUGUCAACAAACUUUCCUGGCGGCCGCACGUGGAUCAUCUAUUGGCGAAGGUCAAAGCAGCAACUAAUGCUCUUUACACUUUACUAUGCGGUAAGAGCAAGCUUUCUCUGCGAAACAAAAGGUAAUUGUAUAUGUCUUACAUCCAGACAAUAGUGUCAUACGGGUCUGCUGCUUAAACCUAUGACUCCACUGCAAUAGCGUCGGCACCUUGAAAGGCGGCAGGAUAAAUUACUGCGCCUGAUGACAACCGCGCCGGGGUUGGUGCGAAAACAAAGCUCUUCACUCGGGCCUUCAACUGGGCCGGUCAGACAUCGUCUUCCAACGUAAUGUCAAUGCCCUUUACGACAGGCUAUCCAGGCACGCUAAUCGCCUGCUCGUGAGUGAAUUUAUUUAGGAGCCUGAGACGGGGCAUGUUACCGCCGCCCUCCUGCCUCUCUACUAAUGACACCUUUUCAAUUGAAAGCUAUUAUUUAACAUCUGAUUGAGAGCUCGAGUAUUCGAAGUUUUCUAACACGGUCGAGCACCAGGAAAUGCCUUUGAUAAAUAAA